rnacentral:rRNA from 1 species
GAUGAACGCUGGCGGCGUGCCUAAUACAUGCAAGUCGAGCGAACAGACGAGGGGCUUGCUCCUCUGACGUUAGCGGCGGACGGGUGAGUAACACGUGGAUAACCUACCUAUAAGACUGGGAUAACUUCGGGAAACCGGAGCUAAUACCGGAUAAUAUAUUGAACCGCAUGGUUCAAUAGUGAAAGACGGUUUUGCUGUCACUUAUAGAUGGAUCCGCGCCGCAUUAGCUAGUUGGUAAGGUAACGGCUUACCAAGGCAACGACGCGUAGCCGACCUGAGAGGGUGACCGGGCACAGGGGGACUGAGGUACGGCCCAGAGUGGUACGGGAGGCAGUAGUGGGGAAUAUUGAAAAAUGGGAGGAGGCCGGAUGCAACAAUGGCGCGUGCGGGAUGACGGCCUGCGGGUUGUAAACCGCUGUCGCCUGGGACGAAGCGUGAGUGACGGUAAUGGGUAAAGAAGCACCGGCUAACUAAGUG